rnacentral:rRNA from 1 species
UACGUAGGCAGCGAGCGUUGUUCGGAGUUACUGGGCGUAAAGGGUGUGUAGGCGGUUUUCUAAGUUUGGUGUGAAAUCUCCCGGCUCAACCGGGAGGGUGCGCCGAAAACUGGGAGACUAGAGUGCGGGAUGGGAGAGUAGAAUUCCUGGUGUAGCGGUGAAAUGCGUAGAUAUCAGGAGGAAUACCGGUGGUGAAGACGGCUCUCUGGACCGCCACUGACGCUGAGACACGAAAGCGUGGGUAGCAAACAGG